rnacentral:misc_RNA from 1 species
AAAGUCGUAACAAGGUAACCGUAGGUGAACCUGCGGUUGGAUCAUUAAAAAUUCAAAAGCCUCUCACUGGGACCACGUGGCAUGCCAGGAACAUGCAAUACCGGGUUGCAAUCUAUAUUCAUUGUUCAAGGAUUGCUUCCUAGGGUGUCGUUCGUUCGUUCUUCGCCGAAGACGCGAACUCCGUCCGUAGGUGCUGGCUCAACCCCUGAGAGCUGCGCCCAGUGAAUGUUGGCCCACAUGUUGUGAACUGUCCCGUCUUUGGUGGUGGGGCAGCCUGCUGAAUUCAGCGGUUGCCUGUCAGCUCGGGCAGAAUGAUCCGAGCCGUGGACAAGCCACCGCCUGUUAUUUCGAACCUUUUCUAUUUUUUGUCUGACAUCUGAUUUGUAUGAAUAUACAAACAACUUUUGGCAACGGAUCUCUUGGGUCUC